GAUGAUUUUGUUUUUAUUUUAUGGAAAUUGUGCUCAAGAAAGUGAAAAACGGCAAAGCAUUGAAUUUUUAUUCAAUGCAAUGCUACCUUUUAUUCGAGUGACGUGAAGGAAAAUCGUUCAUUUUUUCCAAGGAAUUUGAUCACCCCAGAUGGACUGGAGGAAAGACAGCUCGCAAGGAUUUCAAGAGGAACUAUUCGUGGUAUUAACAAAAGUUACGCUCAGACCUCAUCGACCUGGCCAUCACUUAAGUCGACAAGACUACAAGUUUUCUUGAAGGAAAUAGUCCAGGAUCUGAAGCUAGAAUCCGGCUGAACAACAUUGGAAAACAUAAAUGCGACAUAAAAGCCGGGAAUCCCUAUCACGCACAAUCAGUUUAGCAGAAAGUAAAUUGAGGCUCAUGUCGGGAUAACUCAACUAUUCAUCUUCCUGUGCGGGGAUUCAGAGGUUCUCCUUAAGCUCAUCUGCUCACCAAACCCACAGGAGAUUUUAAAGCAGUAGCUGAACAGCAAUUUGCAGUCAAGGAUCUUCCAGAGUAUAAUGGAUCGCUGAUCCUCCUUUUAUCUCAGCUUUGGAUUUGGACUUUUUGCCGCAAUUUAUGGCCCGGAAUAGAUGACGAGUGAAGACAUCAAUACAGAAGGAAAACUAUCAAUUUGAUUUUCUAUGUUCAAAGUAUUAUUUAUUUUAGUUUAUGUUUUACAAAAAUACUCUAUUAACAAUUUUUUUUUAAAUUUAAUAAAGAGUGAAUUUUCUUUAUUCAUGAAGAUUUUUCUUUGAUUUUUCACUGGCAGGAAAUUUUUAAACUCGAGAGAACAAUUUCUUUGGCAUUGUUGGAGAUUGCAGGAUCCUCGGAGCUGAGAUUGGGAAGGAAUUGUGUCCCGUGACAUAAAGAGCCCGCUGAAGAUUGAAGGCAAUGUGUGUGCUUUGCGUAAGGAGGUACCAAACAGCGUACUGAUAGCCAACAAAUCGUCUAUCUCCACUCACUGAUAAUACUGAGACUCGCAUCCUCUUCAAUAGCACUCAGAAGAGUCUCUGUUUCGGGAUUCUUUUAUUACAGGAAGCCAUGUUCCUUCCAGGAAUUUCGUAAUGGGAUUGUCAAUGUGCAGUGGCGUCACUGUUCUUCUUGUCCUCAAGAACACACACAGCGCAUGAGAAGGUAUUUCACUCCCUCUUACCACGAGAAUGUUCCAGGCCAGAGGUUACAUCACAAAUUACACUCAACCCAUCCUUGGCGGUUGACACCACGCGUUUCACUUCCAGACUGAACUCAAGAUCAUGGAGCUUCUUCAAAUGAGCCGUAGCGUUAGUUUGGUCACCCGUAGAAAAUUCUACAGUCCUAGUCUUCCGUGUGUCUCCCCUGUGGCCAUCGUUUGCAAUCCAGACGAAGUUCCACAACCCUAUGAAUGGAUUCAGGAUCUAGCAAAUCCUUCUGCACUGAAUCACUUGGUUUAACAUCAAAGACCCUUCGUCGUGAUGAGGUUUCUGGAGGAAUUUCCACCUGUUUGAAUUUCGCUUCUGACGCACGGUUAUUCCACGUAACAACACAACCUAAUCACUAUACCUUCCUGGCCACUUUGGUAGUCAUUCUCCUGACAAGCUAUAAGAAAAGUCCCUCCGCACAACGCCGUUCAUCUGCCGUUCAGUUGACCUAAUUUCAUAUCUUUUUUAACCAUUUUUCGUCGAUUUAUUUUCACGAUUUUCACAAAUUUAUUUUUAUUUUUACACAAUUAAUUAUAUUCACACUAAAAGGAUAAAAAAUACAAAAAUUACUUUUAAUUCGCUACUUGAUUUUCUUGAAAAAAUUCACCACCAUGGCCCGAGGUGAAUUUGAACAUUCGUGGUGUCUCCUCUUGCACGAAAAUGCUAGAGAGAGAUAGCUUAAUACAAUUUUAUGCGUGAAAGACAGAAUAAGCCAAAACGACGUAAAUCAA